rnacentral:lncRNA from 1 species
CAUAAAUCUGAUUCUCUCUUACAAUUAUUUUAAUAAGUCUUUUCCUCAUUUGGGAACAUUUAAUGACUUCAUGGGGUGAUUAAAGCAGAAAUGAUAGACAAUGAGAAGGUUGCAUGAAGGUUCUAGAAAUAAUGAUAUGGAAAAAGAACAGAAUAAAACCACUAAGUCAUGCAACACGGACAAACAUAAAACCACUAAGUCAUGCAACACGGACAAACAUUGUCAUUUUAUUGCUGUUUUUGUCUUAUUUGGAGAACAUGCUGAGUAAAACUGAACCAAAAUAUUAUUAAUUAACUAGCCAUUCCUUGGCUACAAUAACCAUAGUAACUAAUUUUAGCCCAAAGGGUUUCUACAAUCUGCCUGUAAUUAUGUAUGGACCUGCUAUUGGUAGAUUGGUUAGCAAACAACGCAAUGAGCUGAUAAGAACAGAGAAUAAAGCAUUGAUUUUGAGUUUGAGCUUUACAGCUAGGAGCAGCAGAUGAAGGAAGCAGAGGGGCUUUAAGAUGGGCAAGAGGAAGUUCACUGGUCUGGAAAGCACCCUGAUUGCCCUGUUCUGUCUGGUGACUGUGGUGGCCAUUGUCCUCAUUGCACUGUUAGCAUCAGGACAACCUGGAGUCCAAAUAAGUACUGAACAAAAUGUAACAGAAUUUACACCAGUAUGUCCGAACAUAUUAAUAGAAGAGAGAAUUGACUGCAUCCCAGAUCAACUUGCUACAAAGGUCUGAAAACAUUAUAGAAAAAAUUACAAAAUAGAAUUUCUCACAAAAAGAUUCAUGUUUAAUUAUGAAAAUUUACUUCGUCUCUACUAUAUUGGCGGUUUUAUAACUUUUUUUUUGCUGUUUUUGUCUCUGAACAUCUAAAUGCUUUGUGGGGAAGCUUAACUCCUGUAUAAACAAUUUUAGCUCUUUGUCAGAAGGUCUAUUUUUUCUAGCCACUGUGGCAGUAUACUGUGAGGGGUUGAAGACCUCUGCCAAUAUACUUCCCAGCAGUUUGGCUUUGUGAUAAGCAGGAACAAAAUUAGGCAAACAAGAUAUGGUUAGAAAAAUUGUUUUCAACAAUAUUGCCUAAGCAAUUUAUUUGUCUGGUAGUCAACCAGCAUUUACAAUUAAGCAUAUUUUAGAAAUAGGUCAAGAAGCACUUUACACAGAUGAACAUGAUUUUUAUAAUGCAAUGAACACUUCCAAUUUCCUUUCAGAACUGAUUUGAAUCUCACUUUCUCUCUUUCUUGGUUGUUGUCUCUCAUCUGAGCAAGCACAGAGUUUAGAAAUGACCUUCUUGUUUAAGAAUCCAUGAGUUUAGUUUUCCAGUGAAAAAUAGCAUCUUAAUUUUUUAGUCCUCUCACAUUCAGAACAUUUUUAUAGUGGCUGUUAUAGGAAGGCUAUUACUGAGGCUAUUAUUGUUAUUUUUAUAAUCAUUAUUAUUAUUCAGUUUAUGAUGGAUGUUCUUAAUUUCUGAUGGAAUCUGAUGGGUGCCUGCCAUCUUUCUUUUCUUCGUGGGGUGCAGUUUAUAAGAAAAGACAGAGAGUAUAUUAUGAUAUGUGAUACUUACAUCAUUCACAGCGGUAUAAAAAAUGAUUAAUCAACUGUCUCAGUCUCUCAGUGAAUUCCCAAUCCAAUUCCAGAAAAGACAGUUGUUAAUGCUACUGUCAUGCCAUGGUUUGUAUUAUGAUAUAUAGUUCAAUAAAGUCUGCAGGUUAACAGAUUAGUAAAGGCUC